CAGGAUAGAGGUUCGAUUCCGGAGAGGGAGCCUGAGAAACGGCUACCACAUCUAAGGAAGGCAGCAGGCGCGUAAAUUACCCAAUCCCGACUCAGGGAGGUAGUGACAAGAAAUAACGGACCGAAGCUUUUGUUUCGGGAUUGCAAUGAGUAGAAUUUAAACCCCUUUGCGAGGAUCAAUUGGAGGGCAAGUCUGGUGCCAGCAGCCGCGGUAAUUCCAGCUCCAAUAGCGUAUAUUAAAGUUGUUGCAGUUAAAAAGCUCGUAGUUGGAUUUCUGGGAGGGAGCCGAUGUCCGCUUGUUAGCGUGCGCAGAGGCACCCUUCCAUCCUUCUGUUAACGUUUCUCGGUAUUCAUUUACUGGUUUCGGGCUCAGAUAUUUUACCUUGAGAAAAUUACAGUGUUUCAGGCAGGCUUGCGCCGGAAUACAUUAGCAUGGAAUAAUAGAAUAGGACUUUAGUCUCCUUUGUUGGUUUGAGGGACUGAAGUAAUGAUUAAUAGGGAUAGUUGGGGGCAUUAGUAUUUAAUUGUCAGAGGUGAAAUUCUCGGAUUUGUUAAAGACUAACUUAUGCGAAAGCAUUUGCCAAGGAUGUUUUCAUUAAUCAAGAACGAAAGUUACGGGA
rnacentral:rRNA from 1 species